rnacentral:rRNA from 1 species
UUACGGGAGGCAGCAGUGGGGAAUUUUGCGCAAUGGGCGAAAGCCUGACGCAGCAACGCCGCGUGGAGGAUGAAGGUCUUUGGAUUGUAAACUCCUGUCAGCAGGGAAGAAAUGCUCUGACCUAAUACGUCAGGGAGUUGACGGUACCUGCAGAGGAAGCCCCGGCUAACUCUGUGCCAGCAGCCGCGGUAAUACAGAGGGGGCGAGCGUUAUUCGGAAUUAUUGGGCGUAAAGGGCGCGUAGGCGGCUUCGCAAGUGGAAGGUGAAAUCCCUCGGCUUAACCGAGGAACUGCCUUCCAAACUGCAUUGCUUGAGUCCGGGAGAGGUGAGUGGAAUUCCCAGUGUAGCGGUGAAAUGCGUAGAUAUUGGGAGGAACACCAGUGGCGAAGGCGGCUCACUGGACCGGAACUGACGCUGAGGCGCGAAAGCGUGGGGAGCAAACGGGAUUAGAUACCCCGGUAGUCCC